GAUGAACGCUAGCGGCAGGCCUAACACAUGCAAGUCGAGGGGUAGUUGUCUUCGGACAAUGAGACCGGCGCACGGGUGCGUAGCGCGUAUGCAAUCUACCUUAUACUAAGGGAUAGCCCAGAGAAAUUUGGAUUAAUACCUUAUAGUUAAUAGAGUUGGCAUCGACUUUAUUAUAAAGAUUAAUUGGUAUAAGAUGAGCAUGCGUCCCAUUAGUUAGUUGGUAAGGUAACGGCUUACCAAGACGAUGAUGGGUAGGGGUCCUGAGAGGGAGAUCCCCCACACUGGUACUGAGACACGGACCAGACUCCCACGGGAGGCAGCAGUGAGGAAUAUUGGUCAAUGGGCGCAAGCCUGAACCAGCCAUGCCGCGUGCAGGAUGAAGCAUCUAUGGUGUGUAAACUGCUUUUGUACGGGAAGAAAAAAAGCUACGUGUAGCUUACUGACGGUACCGUAAGAAUAAGGAUCGGCUAACUCCGUGCCAGCAGCCGCCGUAA
rnacentral:rRNA from 1 species